rnacentral:lncRNA from 1 species
GGGUGGAGCACAACGUCGAAAGCAGCCGUUGGGAGCCCAGGAGGCGGGGCGCCUGUGGGAGCCGUGGAGGGAACUUUCCCAGUCCCCGAGGCGGAUCCGGUGUUGCAUCCUUGGAGCGAGCUGAGAGCUCGAGAACCUGCUAAGGCCAUCAAACCUAUUGAUCGGAAGUCAGUCCAUCAGAUUUGCUCUGGGCCGGUGGUACCGAGUCUAAGCACUGCGGUGAAGGAGUUAGUAGAAAACAGUCUGGAUGCUGGUGCCACUAAUAUUGAUCUAAAGCUUAAGGACUAUGGAGUGGAUCUCAUUGAAGUUUCAGGCAAUGGAUGUGGGGUAGAAGAAGAAAACUUCGAAGGCUUAACUCUGAAACAUCACACAUCUAAGAUUCAAGAGUUUGCCGACCUACCUCAGUGAUGUCACCAUUUCUACCUGCCAUGUAUCGGCGAAGGUUGGGACUCGACUGGUGUUUGAUCACUAUGGGAAAAUCAUCCAGAAAACCCCCUACCCCCACCCCAGAGGGAUGACAGUCAGUGUGAAGCAGUUAUUUUCUACGCUACCUGUGCACCAUAAAGAAUUUCAAAGGAAUAUUAAGAAGAAACGUGCCUGCUUCCCCUUCGCCUUCUGCCGUGAUUGUCAGUUUCCUGAGGCCUCCCCAGCCAUGCUUCCUGUACAGCCUGCAGAACUGACUCCUAGAAGUACCCCACCCCACCCCUGCUCCUUGGAGGACAACGUGAUCACUGUAUUCAGCUCUGUCAAGAAUGGUCCAGGUUCUUCUAGAUGAUCUGCACAAAUGGCUCCUCUCCUCCUUCCUGAUGUCUGCCAUUAGCACUGGAAUAAAGUUCCUGCUGAAAAUCCA